rnacentral:rRNA from 1 species
GACGAACCGUGCGAACGUUAUUCGGAAUCACUGGGCUUAAAGGGAGCGUAGGCGGGCUAUCAAGUCUGGGGUGAAAUCCCGCGGCUCAACCGCGGAACUGCCUCAGAUACUGACGGCCUCGAGGGGGAUAGGGGCAUGCGGAACUGUAGGUGGAGCGGUGAAAUGCGUUGAUAUCUACAGGAACUCCGGUGGCGAAAGCGGCGUGCUGGACCUCUUCUGACGCUGAGGCGCGAAAGCUAGGGGGAGCAAACGGG